UAUGCGCAAGUGUUAUAGGCCAUUAUCAUCUCUCCGCAAAACCGACUUAUUAGGAUAUGCCAUGCCAACGUUUAUAUGUUCAAUGAUUUUUUUUUUCUCAUUCAACAUGGAUUAAUGCACCAUGCUUGUUCCCUUGGAGUGCUUGACAUGACACAGGCACAUAUAUUAUUUAUGGCUUACUAAUUUUUUUCUACUGCCUAUACGUUGGGUAUGUGUUUUUUUGAGAACUUGUGAGGUUGUACCCCUUUCAUAGAUUGAAUGUCCUCCUUUUCCUUUCAUAUAUCAAUGUCUUUUCAAGUAAAGGGCUUCCUGUGAAACAUAAAUUUCAUGUGAAAAGAGGAGCAAAGGAUUUUCAAGCUGUUCAAAAGAAAGUGGCAGAGUUGAUCAAGGGAAGGAUUCUCGUGGAUUUUCCUUACCUGCUUUGUUGUUUUAUUGGUUGUGUGAAGUAGAAAACUGUGCAACCCUUUCAAACUAAUAUGUAUUCUCAUUUUUUUCCGG